rnacentral:piRNA from 1 species
UGGCUGCAAACGGAACACUGAAUAUGCCAUA